GGACUACAAGGGUUUCUAAUCCUGUUUGCUCCCCACGCUUUCGCACCUCAGCGUCAGAUCUGGACCAGUUAGCCGCCUUCGCCACUGGUGUUCUUCCCAAUAUCUACGAAUUUCACCUCUACACUGGGAAUUCCACUAACCUCUUCCAGCCUCAAGGUCGCCAGUAUCAAAGGCAGUUCCGGAGUUGAGCUCCGGGAUUUCACCCCUGACUUAACGACCCGCCUACGUGCGCUUUACGCCCAGUAAAUCCGAACAACGCUAGCCCCCUUCGUAUUACCGCGGCUGCUGGCAC
rnacentral:rRNA from 1 species